GCCUUCUUAGUUCAGUGGUUAGAAUUUUUCACUAGUACUCGUGGUCUCUUGACUCCUGCUACGAUGAAAGGGUCACCCGUUCAAUUCGGGUAGAAGGCA
rnacentral:tRNA from 1 species